rnacentral:rRNA from 1 species
GACGAACGCUGGCGGCAGGCUUAACACAUGCAAGUCGAACGAGCUGGGGGCUUCUGUCCCCGAUGCUAGUGGCGCACGGGUGAGUAACACGUGGGAGUAUGCCGUUUAGUACGGUAUAACCAAUUGAGGCUUCUGCUGAUACCGUAUACGCCCUUCUGGUGCAAGAUGUAUGGCGAAAGGAUUAGCCCGCGUCUGGUUAGGUAGUUGGGGCGGUAAUGGCUGAGCAAGCCGACGUGCAGUAGCUGGUCUGUGAGGAUGAUCCGCCAGAAUGGGGCUGAGACACGGACCAGAACGCGACGCGAGGGAGCAGUGGGGAAUAUUGGACACUGGGGGCAAACCUGAUAAAGCCAUGCGGCGUGAGUGAAGAAGGCCUUCGGGUUGUAAAGCUCUCUCGACGGGGACGAUGAUGACGGUAACCGGAAAAGAAGCACCGGCAAACUUCGUG